rnacentral:rRNA from 1 species
UACAGAGGGUGCGAGCGUUAAUCGGAAUCACUGGGCAUAAAGAGCACGUAGGCUGCGCGCUAAGUCAGGUGUGAAAUCCCCCGGCUCAACCGGGGAACUGCACCUGAUACUGGCGUGCUCGAGGACGGUAGGGGUGAGUGGAACUCCAGGUGGAGCGGUGAAAUGCGUAGAGAUGUGGAGGAACACCAGUGGCGAAGGCGGAUCUCUGGGCCAUUACUGACGCUGAGGAGCGAAAGCGUGGGGAGCGAACAGG